rnacentral:rRNA from 1 species
UACGUAGGGUGCAAGCGUUGUCCGGAAUUAUUGGGCGUAAAGAGCUCGUAGGCGGUCUGUCGCGUCGGAUGUGAAAACCCAAGGCUCAACCUUGGGCCUGCAUUCGAUACGGGCAGACUAGAGUUCGGUAGGGGAGACUGGAAUUCCUGGUGUAGCGGUGAAAUGCGCAGAUAUCAGGAGGAACACCGGUGGCGAAGGCGGGUCUCUGGGCCGAUACUGACGCUGAGGAGCGAAAGCGUGGGGAGCGAACAGG